GCAGCUACACAUGCAGUCGAGCGGUAGCACAGAGAGCUUGCUCUCGGGUGACGAGCGGCGGACGGGUGAGUAAUGUCUGGGAAACUGCCUGAUGGAGGGGGAUAACUACUGGAAACGGUAGCUAAUACCGCAUAAUGUCGCAAGACCAAAGUGGGGGACCUUCGGGCCUCAUGCCAUCAGAUGUGCCCAGAUGGGAUUAGCUAGUAGGUGGGGUAACGGCUCACCUAGGCGACGAUCCCUAGCUGGUCUGAGAGGAUGACCAGCCACACUGGAACUGAGACACGGUCCAGACUCCUACGGGAGGCAGCAGUGGGGAAUAUUGCACAAUGGGCGCAAGCCUGAUGCAGCCAUGCCGCGUGUGUGAAGAAGGCCUUCGGGUUGUAAAGCACUUUCAGCGGGGAGGAAGGCGGUGAGGUUAAUAACCUUAUCGAUUGACGUUACCCGCAGAAGAAGCACCGGCUAACUCCGUGCCAGCAGCCGCGGUAAUACGGAGGGUGCAAGCGUUAAUCGGAAUUACUGGGCGUAAAGCGCACGCAGGCGGUCUGUCAAGUCGGAUGUGAAAUCCCCGGGCUCAACCUGGGAACUGCAUUCGAAACUGGCAGGCUAGAGUCUUGUAGAGGGGGGUAGAAUUCCAGGUGUAGCGGUGAAAUGCGUAGAGAUCUGGAGGAAUACCGGUGGCGAAGGCGGCCCCCUGGACAAAGACUGACGCUCAGGUGCGAAAGCGUGGGGAGCAAACAGGAUUAGAUACCCUGGUAGUCCACGCCGUAAACGAUGUCGAUUUGGAGGUUGUGCCCUUGAGGCGUGGCUUCCGGAGCUAACGCGUUAAAUCGACCGCCUGGGGAGUACGGCCGCAAGGUUAAAACUCAAAUGAAUUGACGGGGGCCCGCACAAGCGGUGGAGCAUGUGGUUUAAUUCGAUGCAACGCGAAGAACCUUACCUGGUCUUGACAUCCACAGAACUUACCAGAGAUGGAUUGGUGCCUUCGGGAACUGUGAGACAGGUGCUGCAUGGCUGUCGUCAGCUCGUGUUGUGAAAUGUUGGGUUAAGUCCCGCAACGAGCGCAACCCUUAUCCUUUGUUGCCAGCGGUUCGGCCGGGAACUCAAAGGAGACUGCCAGUGAUAAACUGGAGGAAGGUGGGGAUGACGUCAAGUCAUCAUGGCCCUUACGACCAGGGCUACACACGUGCUACAAUGGCAUAUACAAAGAGAAGCGACCUCGCGAGAGCAAGCGGACCUCAUAAAGUAUGUCGUAGUCCGGAUUGGAGUCUGCAACUCGACUCCAUGAAGUCGGAAUCGCUAGUAAUCGUAGAUCAGAAUGCUACGGUGAAUACGUUCCCGGGCCUUGUACACACCGCCCGUCACACCAUGGGAGUGGGUUGCAAAAGAAGUAGGUAGCUUAACCUUCGGAGGCGCUACCACUUGAUCA
rnacentral:rRNA from 1 species